UUGAUAAAACAGCAACAUCCCACACCAUCCACAGACAUGCAGUUUUCACCUCCUGAAUUCUCUUCCAUGUACUCAAAUACUAAAAGCUUGUGUGCAUGGUAAUAAAUAAAUAAGAUUUCUUUUAAUGGAUCCAGACUUACCUGAGGACAACUGUAGGGUUAAUACAACAAAGAUUCCUCUUUACUUUGUGUGUGUGUAUCUGUGUGCAUGCAUGUGUGUGUGUGUGUUAAAAGAUGAACUAAGGCACCACUUUUUGCUGACUCUGAGCUCUCCUAUUUGGUUGGUCUUACUAGUCAGCUUUCCCUGCAGCUCGCCUAAAUGCCUACUAAGCUGGGAUUAUAAAUAAGCAAGCCACUAUGCUUGCCUGGAUUUUUUUAUAUAUGUAUGGGUGCUGGGAAUCCAAACUCCAGCAUUCAUGCUUGCACGGCAAGCCCCACCACUGAGCCAUCUUUCCAGACUCCACAGCUUUUUCUUUAAUGGUAGAAAACUGCAUACAUACAAGAGGUUAGAGUCUAUGUCAAUGUUUCUCCCCUCUGGCCAUCACCCAUUCUCCCCAUGCUACUCAGUUGAUCUACAACAAACACAAGCCAACUGUGUUCAUUUUGAACCAUUUUACUGUGUAUUUUUAUACACAGUUGGUUUUUUAUUUUAGUUAUGUGUAUGGGUAUGUGCUUACGUAGGUGCCCAUGGGGGCCAUGGAGGUCUCAGGAAUCCCAAGAACUAGAGUGUGUAACGUUUGCUGUCACUUCAACAGUUGCCCGAUUAUCUGUCAGAUGUCUCAGAAUCUCUGCCUUUGUGUUUAAGUAAUUCUUAACUUUGCAUAAAAUGGGCACAGAACACAGAAGUAGUGAGGAAUUGCAGGCAUUCAAGAAAACACAUGAAAAGACAUUAAUUCUACCAUUGAUGGCAAGGCUAUAGAAAACAGGAAAAAUUCUAAUAUGUUUAGAAUUUCCCUGAAUGCACAAUUUCAGUUUGAAGCCUUGAAAACCAUCCCUCUUGGGAGAAUAGGAUUUCUGUGUGGUGAAAUACAUUAAUUCUUGAAGUCAGACCUAUGAACCAAGAUAUAUUCAGAAAAUCUAUCCAUCCCUGGCCCUCCCUGCCCUGUACAUUUUUCUUAGAUCUUGUGAUAUGCCUUCCGUUAAGUAAUACGUCCUUGCUGUACCUUCCAGUAAGCCAUGAAUUGUAUUAAUUUUACAUAAGAAGGGAGGAACAAGAAAGGAGGUUGGAAUUCUUCCUAAUAGGAAUAAGUAAAUCUAUCUCUAGUUAUGACUUGUUUUCUUAGAUCAGUGCUGGUGUGCUUCUGUUUGUGGCACAAGAGCACUUACCAACAGCCACGCCAUUUUAAGGAGAAUUUCAAACAAACAAACAAACAAACAAAAAACAAAAACAAAAACAAAAGGAGAAGACUAUCAAUGCAAACCACUUUUAUGUUUAAGGAAAGGAUACAAAUAUAAGAUUCAUAUUGGAAAACCUAAUUUUGCAUUGAGACUCUCACCAAAGAUUUAGGAAUGGAUGGAUGCAUUUUGAAAGAGAGAGAGAGAGAGAGAGAGAGAGAGAGAGAGAGAGAGAGAGAGAUCUGUGUUCACUGCCCUAGCUGCGGGAGAGCUCUUCAGAGUCUACCAUUUUACAGGCAGCAAGUGAAAAUAUAACUCUUAAGACUCAUGCCACAAACCCCUAAUGCCUAGUCGACUUCUAAAAAAUUGCAUCUAGUUACAAGAUACACAAUUCAAAGCU
ensembl:sense_intronic Gm43113 predicted gene 43113